rnacentral:misc_RNA from 1 species
GGACUUGAUGUGGCGGAGAGGGCGAGCUAGACAUAUUGGGGUGGAGAAGGAUGAUAUUUAUGUUCAGGUGGUGGAUGAUAUACAUGUGGUGGGGAAGAAGGAUGAUGGACUUGAUGUGGCGGAGAGGGCGAGCUAAGUUCACUGGUCAGAGCACUGGCAACGCGUGAUUGGUAUUUGUCCACCCUAACCUCGACUAACUCUUC